GGGGGCUGGUCGGUGGGGUUAACAAAAAAGGGAUAAUAUCCUACUAACCAGUAAAAUACUAAGUAGCAAUUUUUUAAAUGAGGUAAAUUGUCAGAUACUGACAUGGAAUAAUUGUACUUUAUGUGUAAAAGUUACAGAACAACACUUAUGAUAGAGUUUAUGCAGACACAGAGUUUAUACAUGGCUACUUCUGAGAAGAAUAUAUUGCAAAGGAAUGAGGUAAUUUUAUUUUACUUCUCACCAUUCUCUACCAUUACAAUUAUUUUCUUAAGCAUAUAUAUUUUCACAAUAAUUAUUAAGGACUGUGCAAGAGGAGGUGGAGCAUAAAUCAAAACAAUGGAGACAAUAUGAUACUACUGAAGAUGCAAGUAUAAGUGAUAGAACAUAAAAAAAGUUUUGAAAGGAAAGAAUAUACAAAAAGAUAUUGGAGGCUGGGCGCAGUGGCUCACAUCUGUAAUCCCAGCACUUUGAGGCUGAGGCAAGCAGAUUGCUUGAGCCCAGGAGUUCGAGACCAGCCUGGGCAACAUGGUGAAACCCCAUUUCUACAAAAAGUACAAAAAUUAGCUGGGCAUGGUGGCACAUGCCUGUGGUCCCAGUUACUCAGGAGGCUGGGGUGGGAGGAUCACUUGAGUCAGGGAGGCAGAGUUUGCGGUGAGCCAAGAUCUUGCCACUACACUCCAGCCUGGGUGACAGAGUGAGAUCCUGUCUCAGACGAAAAAGGAAGCAGCAAUUGGAAAAUGAAAUAAAGGAAGUAAAAAUGAAACUAGGUAUGAGUCAUAACUCAGGAGUGCUGUUUAUACCAGAUGAAUCUACAAAGCCAAGAACAGGAA
rnacentral:lncRNA from 1 species